rfam:Parastrongyloides trichosuri strain KNP genome assembly, scaffold: PTRK_scaffold0000001
AGCUUUGCGCAUGGGCGAUAACGUGACCAAUGAGGCCUAGCUGAGGUGCGUUUAUUGCUGGUUGAAAACUUUAACCAAUUGCCCGCUACGGGGAUUAAUAAUCUCCCGUAGCAAUUUUUGGAAGGCGGAAACGCC